UGCCAGCCGCCGCGGUAAUACGGAGGGUGCAAACGUUGCUCGGAUGUUACUGGGCGUAAAGGGAGCGCAGGCAGCUUGUUAAGUCUGAUGUGAAAGCCCGGGGCUCAACCUCGGAACUGCAUUGGAUACUGGCAAGCUUGAGUAUGUUAGAGGAGAGCGGAAUACCUGGUGUAGCGGUGAAAUGCGUUGAGAUCAGGUGGAACACCGGUGGCGAAGGCGGCUCUCUGGGGCAUUACUGACGCUGAGGCUCGAAAGCGUGGGGAUCAAACAGGAUUAGAUA
rnacentral:rRNA from 1 species